rnacentral:rRNA from 1 species
GAUAAACGCUGGCGGCGUGCCUAAUACAUGCAAGUCGAGCGAACGGACGAGAAGCUUGCUUCUCUGAUGUUAGCGGCGGACGGGUGAGUAACACGUGGAUAACCUACCUAUAAGACUGGGAUAACUUCGGGAAACCGGAGCUAAUACCGGAUAAUAUUUUGAACCGCAUGGUUCAAAAGUGAAAGACGGUCUUGCUGUCACUUAUAGAUGGAUCCGCGCUGCAUUAGCUAGUUGGUAAGGUAACGGCUUACCAAGGCAACGAUGCAUAGCCGACCUGAGAGGGUGAUCGGCCACACUGGAACUGAGACACGGUCCAGACUCCUACGGGAGGCAGCAGUAGGGAAUCUUCCGCAAUGGGCGAAAGCCUGACGGAGCAACGCCGCGUGAGUGAUGAAGGUCUUCGGAUCGUAAAACUCUGUUAUUAGGGAAGAACAUAUGUGUAAGUAACUGUGCACAUCUUGACGGUACCUAAUCAGAAAGCCACGGCUAACUACGUGCCAGCAGCCGCGGUAAUACGUAGGUGGGGCAGCGUAUCCGGAAUUAUUGGGCGUAAAGCGCGCGUAGCGGUUUUUUAGUCUGAUGUGAAAGCCCACGGCUCAACCGUGGAGGGUCAUUGGAAACUGGAAAACUUGAGUGCAGAAGAGGAAAGUGGAAUUCCAUGUGUAGCGGUGAAAUGCGCAGAGAUAUGGAGGAACACCAGUGGCGAAGGCGACUUUCUGGUCUGUAACUGACGCUGAUGUGCGAAAGCGUGGGGAUCAAACAGGAUUAGAUACCCUGGUAGUCCACGCCGUAAACGAUGAGUGCUAAGUGUUAGGGGGUUUCCGCCCCUUAGUGCUGCAGCUAACGCAUUAAGCACUCCGCCUGGGGAGUACGACCGCAAGGUUGAAACUCAAAGGAAUUGACGGGGACCCGCACAAGCGGUGGAGCAUGUGGUUUAAUUCGAAGCAACGCGAAGAACCUUACCAAAUCUUGACAUCCUUUGACAACUCUAGAGAUAGAGCCUUCCCCUUCGGGGGACAAAGUGACAGGUGGUGCAUGGUUGUCGUCAGCUCGUGUCGUGAGAUGUUGGGUUAAGUCCCGCAACGAGCGCAACCCUUAAGCUUAGUUGCCAUCAUUAAGUUGGGCACUCUAAGUUGACUGCCGGUGACAAACCGGAGGAAGGUGGGGAUGACGUCAAAUCAUCAUGCCCCUUAUGAUUUGGGCUACACACGUGCUACAAUGGACAAUACAAAGGGCAGCGAAACCGCGAGGUCAAGCAAAUCCCAUAAAGUUGUUCUCAGUUCGGAUUGUAGUCUGCAACUCGACUACAUGAAGCUGGAAUCGCUAGUAAUCGUAGAUCAGCAUGCUACGGUGAAUACGUUCCCGGGUCU